rnacentral:lncRNA from 12 species
GGCCGGGCCGGGCCGCAGCCGCGCGCUCCCAGCCCCUUACGCCCCGGGCCGCUGCUCUGCUCCGGGGAAGCUGACCAGGCCGCCAGCCUCCUGGGCCUUUAGUUGCGGCCAUUGCUUCCCGGCCUGCGCGCUCCCUCGCCCCAGAGUAAGACGUCGGGACCCCAGGAGGUGAGGACAGGCCAGUCACCCUCCCAGGGAGGCCAGGCAGACGUCCCUGCUCACAGUCUGGGUGUCGCAGGUUCUGCUCGGGGUCCCUGGGCCCAUGUGGCCAGAGCCUGCCUGGUGGCAGAGGCAGAUGGAAAGAAGACACAGUGGCCAUCUGUCUGUACAUCCCCAUUGGCCUCAUUGGCCUCCACCCAGAUGCCUCUGGGGGGAACUGGGGUUCGUUUCCCGUCUAGUAUGUUCCAGAGGUUUGACAGGAUGAAAGCCAGAGGCUUUUUCUCACAGGGAAUAAGAAGCGGGCAGGGGGGUGGCAGGGGGAGAAUUUCUAAUCUUGCCAGUCUGGGGAAUUUGGGGGCCAGGUGUCAGGAAACCCAUUAAAGCAUCAUUGUAAUGCCUUAGUGAGUUGUCUUAAUAAAUCACAUCUUUUCGCUGUAAGAGUAAUACUCGUUCAUUAGAGUUUGAGAAAGUGAAUCUAAUUAAUAACCUAACUACGUGGAGAUGUGGACUAUAACUGUCUUGGCGUGUUUCUUCCCAGUUUUUAAAUAGUGCUGUGAUGAACAUUUCUGAUGAUAUUAUAGCCACCCCCCACCCCUUAUCCGCAGGGGACACGCUCCAAGACCCCCAUUGGCCUCCUGAAACCAUGGGCAUUGCGGACCCAUACGCAGGCUGUUCACUCCGGUACAUACACACCUGUGAUUAAGCUUGGCUGGUAAACUAGGCCGAGGUCGAGAGUGACGAUAACAUAAUAAAAUAGCCUGGUAGUAACGGCAUGCCGUGCUGUGGUUACGUGGCUGUGGUCUUGCUCUCCUGUCGCCCUGUGCUCACCCCUCUAGGAUGCCGAGGGGUACAGGCGUGGGGUGCCGUUGGGGGGCUGCUGCUGGCCUGAGCGUCUGGCAGAAGCGCCUGCUUCUGGACCGUGGCCACCGCAGGAACGGAGGUGGGGGGCUGCUUGGAAGUGUCCUUGGAAGUGGCCUGAGUGUGUCGUCCGGGAUCUUCAUGGGAAGAACAAGAAGCAACAUCUGUUUUUCAUCAAAACUCUCCUGUCAAGACUCCUGGAUGGCUCAGUUGGUCAAGUGUCUGACUCUUGGUUUCGGCUCAGGUCCUGAUCUUGGGGUGGUGGGAUUGAGCCUCACAUUGGGCUCUACAUUCAGCAUGGAGUCUGCUUGA